rnacentral:tRNA from 1 species
GGUCUAGCGGUCAGAACACUAGCCUUGUAAGCCUGGAGUCCCGGGUUCAAUUCCCGG